GUUAAUGUAGCUUAAAAUUAAAGCAAGGCACUGAAAAUGCCUAGAUGAGUGAUCUAACUCCAUGAACA
rnacentral:tRNA from 1 species